GACAGAGGGUGCGAACGUUGUUCGGAAUUACUGGGCGUAAAGCGCGUGUAGGCGGCAGCGCAAGUCGGGCGUGAAAUCCCACGGCUCAACCGUGGAAGUGCACUCGAAACUGCGCAGCUAGAGUCCUGGAGAGGAAGGUGGAAUGCUUGGUGUAGAGGUGAAAUUCGUAGAUAUCAAGCGGAACACCGGUGGCGAAGGCGACCUUCUGGACAGUGGACUGACGCUGAGACGCGAAAGCGUGGGGAGCAAACAGGG
rnacentral:rRNA from 1 species